rnacentral:rRNA from 1 species
UGGGUUGCAAAAGAAGUAGGUAGCUUAACCUUCGGGAGGGCGCUUACCACUUUGUGAUUCAUGACUGGGGUGAAGUCGUAACAAGGUAACCGUAGGGGAACCUGCGGUUGGAUCACCUCCUUACCUGCAAGA